AGAGAAUAGAUACCCCCGGUAGUCCCAGCCGUAAACGAUGCUCGCUAGGUGUCAGGCAUGGCGCGACCGUGUCUGGUGCCGCAGGGAAGCCGUGAAGCGAGCCACCUGGGAAGUACGGCCGCAAGGCUGAAACUUAAAGGAAUUGGCGGGGGAGCACAACAACGGGUGGAGCCUGCGGUUUAAUUGGACUCAACGCCGGACAACUCACCGGGGGCGACAGCAAUAUGUAGGCCAGGCUGAAGACCUUGCCUGAAUCGCUGAGAGGAGGUGCAUGGCCGUCGCCAGUUCGUACUGUGAAGCAUCCUGUUAAGUCAGGCAACGAGCGAGACCCGUGCCCACUGUUACCAGCAUAUUCUCCGGAAUGAUGGGUACUCUGUGGGGACCGCCGAUGUUAAACUCGGAGGAAGGUGCGGGCCACGGUAGGUCAGUAUGCCCCGAAUCUCCCGGGNUACACGCGGGCUACAAUGGAUGGGACAAUGGGUCCU
rnacentral:rRNA from 1 species